AUACUACAGGUUGUUUCGUUGGUUUCCAUACAGCUCACACGGUACGGGACGGCCAAGAAUAGCAAAGAGCACGCGAAUCUAGCCGUCCUGUAACUGAGUUUGGUGAAGGCGACCGACCGCUCCCUUCAUAGUCCGUCAGAACGAAUUUUAACGUAUAUUUUUUUUUCUAGAAAAACACGCGAUCCGCGACUAAAUUGUAUAUGGAGGUAAAAAGUGAGAAACGAUCGUUUCAGCGUGUCGAAUCACGCAAAGUGAACUGAAGUGAAGUGGCCUCGGCAAAGUUAAAAUCUAAAAACGUAGAGAAGAGAGAGAGUGGAAGAAGAGAAAGAAAGAGAAGAGACUGUGCGAAGUGGUUAUAAGAUUCUUGAGUGCAGUCGUGCGUGUUUUCGGGCAAUGUCUCUCGAGAGUCGUUCGAGUUCAGCCCUAUUUAAAAGGGCUGAACAACUCAAACGCUGGGAACAGUCCGAAACAAAUCGCGAACCGACUCAACCACGUCAGAUUGCACGGAAGAUUAAAUUCUCUGCGGAUUGUGUGUUUCUGGCAGCAUGCGCGGCAGGCGACAAGGAGGAGGUCGUACGUUUACUUCAAAAGGGGGCGGAUAUCAACACCGGAAAUGUUGACGGUCUUACAGCAUUACAUCAAGCAUGUAUCAAUGAUGAUCUGGAUAUGGUCGAAUUUUUAGUGGAAAAAGGAGCUGAUAUCAAUUGUGGAGAUAAUGAAGGAUGGACACCAUUACAUGCAACUGCAUCUUGUGGAUUUAUAUCUAUUGCUAAAUAUUUAAUAGAAAAAGGAUGUAAUUUGGCAGCAGUUAAUUAUGAUGGUCAAUUGGCUCUUGAUAUUGCUGAAAGUGUUGAAAUGGAAGAUAUGCUGCAACAACAUAUAAAUAAAGCUGGUAUAGAUUGUGAUCAAGCUAGAAGUGAAGAAGAAAGAUCAAUGUUAAAUGAUGCCAGAGCAUGGCAAUCAGGAGUAGCUGGUAAAGAUUCAAUCCAUCCUAAAUCAGGAGCUACUGCUCUUCAUGUUGCCGCUGCUAAAGGCUACAUUGAUGUCAUGGAAAUAUUACUUCAAGCUAGAUGUGAUGUUAAUGCUCAAGAUUUUGAUGGUUGGACACCUUUACAUGCUGCAGCACAUUGGGGACAAUUGGAAGCCUGUGAACUUUUAGUGGAAAACUUUUGUAAUAUGGACAUUAAGAAUUAUGCUGAUCAAACUGCAUUUGAUAUUGCUGAUACAAAUAUAUUAUCAGCCCUGGAGGAAUUAAAAGCAAAACAACAGUUGUGGAUGAAAGAUCACCCACAAAUUAUUAAUAAAAAACAAUCAACUGUACCAAAGAAACGUAUAUCAACAAAUAAUGAAAAUACUAUAACCACACAAGAAUCUGUAGAAACAUUUGAAGAAGAAACACCAAAUAAAGUUAAAAAGGUUGAAUUAGAAAUUCAAUCUGAUAAAGAAGAUUCUAGUGGAACAAAUAGCGACGUUGCAAUUUGUAUUUCUUGUAACAAUGCUGCAUGGACAGAAGCGACACGUGAAACAGAUAUGGAAGAGAGUGAUGGUGAAGGUGAAUCUGAGACUAGCUCAGACUCACAUUCUUCCACUUACUCCAAUCAAUCUGAUAAGUCUAACGAAUCAAACCACUCUCCAUGUCUUACAGAUGAUGAAAAGAAAAAUAGAGCAAACAGAGAGGAAACAUCAUCGCGUAACACUUCAUCAACUAUUGACACUAGUAAAGUUCCUAAUCAGGCUCCAAUAAUGCCUCCAAAACAACAGACUGAUAAUGAAGAAGGAAUUAUACCAUCUUGGCGACGAUCUGGCUCUUUUAGAAAUAGAGUACAAAAUACAGAGACAACUCACACUUUAUCUUCUAGACUUGAAGAAAAAGAUAAAAAUAUUAAGUCACCAACCAUGUCAAAUAAACUUAAUACAGAACCUGAUGUUGUAUUAACAAGAACACAUAGUUUUGAAACAGAUGAAAAGUUUUAUGAGCAGUACUUGGCAUUACGAGCUCGAAUCAAGGCGUUUUCUUGUCCUACUCUCCAUUGCUGCAACGCAGCUACUCCUACUUACACCAAUACUACGACCCGUUCUGCAUCUCUACGCGAAACCCACAGAAGAAAAGAAGCAAAAUUAAACUUGGAACUUUCAAGACUGCCACAAGGAAGCAAUACACUUUCACCAACAUCUACAUCAAAAACAAUAGUGUCAAGUACACUGCCAACUACAACUACAGCUACUACAACUGCCACAACAACAACUACUACAACAAGUCCUAUUCCAACUAAUCAAAUACGCAGUGUUCAACCAGUGGAAGCUACAACCACAAACAAUUCAGUAGCAGUUCCUGGAACUCCCACUACACCAGGAGGGAGCAAGCUAAGUCCAGGAAAUAUCUUCAAGAAUUUCUUCAAAUCAUUUGUUCCUCCUGUUCGUGAUGAGGAAAGUGAAACACAGAGAAAAGCACAUGCAAAAAGAGUAAGAGAAACUCGACGUUCAACUCAAGGAGUGACAUUAGAUGAAAUUAAAAGUGCAGAACAAUUAGUAAAAAAGAAACAACAAAAUAAUGAAAUUCCUUCCACAAUAUCUUCUACACAGUCUGCAACCACUACCAGCAAUACAGCCUCAAUUACAGCUACAAUAACAACAGCAACUCCUACUACUGUAACUACAAAUAAGCCUUCUGAAGAACUUAAUUUACCUGAAAGACGACCUUCUUGGAGGUUAAAAGUGGAUAAUGGAAGCAAGUUUCAGUUAGAAGAUGCUAAUAACAGAACUACUACAUUAUCUAAUCCAGAUACUGCUACAUAUAUGAGAAGACCUUCUGCAGGUUCAAGUGUACCAAGACCAUCAUCAGCUCCAAUUGAAACUAUCGCAACGAGUAGUGCAGAAACAACUGUGACAUUACCACUUAGACGAUCGUUAAAACAAUCUGAAGAUAAAGGUAUAUACACAUUAAGAACAAGAUAAAGAAAAUGAUAGUAGAAAUGCACAAGCUACACAAGCUGUUAUACAAAGGAGACGAAGACCUAAAAGGAGAUCUACUGGUGUUGUCCAUGUUGAUAUGGAUGAAAUUGAUCCUGAAAAGCAAGACUUAACUGCUGGUGGUGAUUGUGAUGAAUCUAAAAUCAAUCACAAUGAG
rnacentral:misc_RNA from 1 species